AUGGCCAACGCGCUCAACCCCGUCGUUGCCUUUUUCCCUGCCGUCCCCAUCCCCGUCGUGGCCGCCCGCGUCGUGGCCCCAAAGAAGUCAAAGAAGGAGAUGGCCACGGAGCGGAUAGCGGGCCGACCGGAGGAGGAAAGAGAAGGCAAAAGAAGAAGUCGCGGUCACUCACGCACAAGUCGCCACUCCGAACACCGAGGCCAUCACCGCCAAGGCCAUGCAAACCACCCUCCUCCUUCUAGGGUUCCGCCAGCCGACCCUUCUGUCGCCACCACCGCACCGACCAGCACGGGCUCGUCGGCAACCUGGCCGCAUAGGCUUCCGGACUCAUCGCGCUUGUCAACAUCGCCGACAUAUGGGUACCUCCCCGAACACAACCUGACAGCAAUGUCCUGCUUCUCCACCUCACUUCAGGACGGCUAG
rnacentral:rRNA from 1 species